AUGUUUUGUAAAAAAAAAUGUAUUUUCUGUGUCCUCAGUUUGAGAGAGAUGGAGGAGACAAGAAUAGUAGUAGCAGGUGGAUGGACCAAAAAAUGGCAUUCCUGCAUCCGUCCGUCUUUCUUGGCUGCCUGCCUCACUGACUGCCUUCCUUCCUCAACAAACCACAAUCUCUACCGGUUAAUUAAGAUCCUGGUAAUUAAUUACAUGCACUCGUUAAUUCCCACUCCUCUCCUCUCCUGUAAUCGAUCGAUUCAUUCAGUCGUCCUUGUUAAUUUCAUUCAUUUCAUUUUGAUUAUGCAUCAUGCGUGCGUUCCCCCGUAG
rnacentral:rRNA from 1 species